UUUGAUCAGAGAUACUACGCAAGCGCACAACGUCGACGUUGUCAAGUCGCAGAUUAUUUUCGAAUUAUUUUCAGUAGAAAACAUAUGUUUUUUGAGUGUUCAAAUAAAGUAAUAAUACAAAUUCUAUGAUUUAUUUUAUAAUUUAAGAUUUAUCUUGAUAUCAAAAAUUAAAGCAACAACGAUAAUAGAGACUUUGAAGUUAAGGCAACAAUAGUUUUGAUUAUAUGUAUGGAAGUACCUACUACCAUCACGAAGACCUAGGAUACUUCAAAUACCAAUUUGAUAAUUUUAAAGACAUAAAUUACAAUGAUAAAACUUAGUAAAGAGGUAACAGGGUACCUAUUCUUACCCAAUAUGCUUUAAUCUAUGAGUCUUAAGGGGUGAGCAGUAUUCCAUCCCGUGAUUGAUAUUCCAGGAUAAGAUUGAAGGACAUAGAGGACAUGGAAUAAGGAGACCGCGCUCAUGCCUGAGUAACAUGAAUCAGGGAUUUGUAUGAUGCGAAAACAUUGUUUGCAUUGUUGCACUUACUUAAAACAGUUGACCCCACCGUACUAUAGCAUAUUAUGGGACAUGAAGAAUAGCAUAAUACAUAUCAAUGAGAUAGAGAUAUGCUAAGAACAUCACAUAAAUUCGAUUUAAGAAUAGAAAAAUCUUUAGGUAGCAGAAAUAUUAAUGCAUGUCUAAGCAAGAUUAAAUAAGGUAAUUAUUAACGUUGCUGAUUAUAAACAUGAUAUGGAACUACAGCAUUUAAAAAUUUUCAAAAAAAAAGAAGAAACUUUGACACACCCCUUUUAAAUUUUUGAAUUUUAAUAAAGCACUUUUUAAACGAUGCUUAAUUCUAGAGUUUUAUUUCAGUUUAAUUUUAUUGACGAUGAAAAUACCGUAGGAUGAGGAAAAAAACGGCGUUUAGUUGCCUGGAAAUGACGAUUGAUAACAUUCUCCAUAUAGUAUAAUUUUACAUACAAAUAAAAUACAUACAAAAAAUGGCAGCGAUCUUCAUUUCAUAGCCAUCGCUGACGCCGUUUUUAUUCGAUCAUACGGUAUAUGUAGUAUAAGGGUAGUAUUAAGACAUAAAAAAUAUCAUAAAAAUAUUAUAAAAAAUAAUAUGCUCAAAACUCAACCUUCACCAUAUUGUCAA